GGUAACACUUAGAUAUUAGGUAGCACUUGGUUAUAACACUUUUUUUUUCUUGUUUUUUUACAAAUAUUUUUAAUAAAGCAAUUGAUCCUCACAAUUACAGCCUCACUAGUCAAAAGUCACAAGUCACAAAUUUCUUCUUCCCUCUUACUUCUCCAUCCCUCAAGCUUUCACUAUCUUUUACACUUCAUUUUCCUUGCUCGGCUUCCAUCGCUACCCCCUUCUCGGCUUCCACCAUUACUACCGCUACCCCUUUCUCGUUCCCGGUGCUCCACUGCAGUCCCCAUCCACUGCCGCAACCUCCCUCCAUUGCAACCCGUGCUCCAACUCGAAGAUGUCACAAUUGCCCGUGAUCCAAGUUGAAGAGACAACGUUUGCCACCUCCUGGCCUCCAUCCUCGACGGCUUCCACCUUAAAUUUAGGGUUAUGGUUAGAAUCCAAGUAACUAUGUGUGAAAGAGAUGCAGAAAUUGAAGGCAAUGCCGUGUUUAGGGCUUUGGAUGUGUGAGAAGCUAAUGUAUUAACUGAAUUGAGGACUAUCGAGUUGAUUGACUAUAAAGGGAAUGCCAUCAUUGACAUUAUUAGGUCAGAAUUAUGGAGCCUUGGUGUUGGAUCUACCCUGCAAUCUGCUUGGGCCAACUGCUUUAUUUCAGGUAACCUUAAAUUAAAAUAGUAUUCUUAUAUAAUGAA